AGUGAACGCUGGCGGUAGGCCUAACACAUGCAAGUCGAACGGCAGCACAGUAAGAGCUUGCUCUUACGGGUGGCGAGUGGCGGACGGGUGAGGAAUACAUCGGAAUCUACUUUUUCGUGGGGGAUAACGUAGGGAAACUUACGCUAAUACCGCAUACGACCUACGGGUGAAAGCAGGGGAUCUUCGGACCUUGCGCGAUUGAAUGAGCCGAUGUCGGAUUAGCUAGUUGGCGGGGUAAAGGCCCACCAAGGCGACGAUCCGUAGCUGGUCUGAGAGGAUGGUCCGACACCCUGGAACUGAGACACGGUCCAGACUCCUACGGGAGGAAGCAGUGGGGAAUAUUGGACAAUGGGCGAAUGCCUGAUACAGCAAUACCGCGUGGGUGAAGAAGGCCUUAGGGUUGUAAAGCCCUUUUGUUGGGAAAGAAAAGCAGCAGGUUAAUACCCCGCUGUUAUGACGGUACCCAAAGAAUAAGCACCGGCUAACUUCGUG
rnacentral:rRNA from 1 species